UACGUAGGGGGCAAGCGUUGUCCGGAUUUACUGGGCGUAAAGAGCGCGCAGGCGGUCGUUCAAGUCGCGUGUGAAAGCCCCCGGCUCAACUGGGGAGGGUCACGCGAUACUGAUCGACUCGAAGGCAGGAGAGGGUAGUGGAAUUCCCGGUGUAGUGGUGAAAUGCGUAGAUAUCGGGAGGAACACCAGUGGCGAAGGCGGCUUUCUGGUCUGUAACUGACGCUGAGGCGCGAAAGCGUGGGGAGCAAACAGG
rnacentral:rRNA from 1 species